rnacentral:rRNA from 1 species
UACGGAGGAUGCAAGCGUUAUCCGGAAUGAUUGGGCGUAAAGCGUCCGCAGGUGGCUGUGUAAGUCUGCUGUCAAAGAGCAAAGCUCAACUUUGUAAAGGCAGUGGAAACUACACGGCUAGAGUGCGUUCGGGGCAGAGGGAAUUCCUGGUGUAGCGGUGAGAUGCGUAGAGAUCAGGAAGAACACCGGUGGCGAAGGCGCUCUGCUAGGCCGCAACUGACACUGAGGGACGAAAGCUAGGGGAGCGAAUGGG